rnacentral:lncRNA from 1 species
CAUUUGUAUCACCUAUCUAAGCACCAACCCUCUCCAAUGCAACAGCUACUGCCACUCUCCAUUCUCUUGUCACCAACUACCAAAAUAAUUUCGUCUGAACCCAGCUUAGUUAUAGCUAAAACUUACUCCUCUCGAACGUUCUACUCUCUGCUUGUUUGUUUUUUUGCCUUUAAUUUUCUGGUUUGUUGACAGCUGAUUCUAGAACCGACGCAAUCAGCGUUAAACCUAUUUUUCUGGAGCGCCCGUGAAGCAUCGGCUUCCUGCGCCUACGCCUAGAGCCUUGCCGAUCUGACGUUGAAUAGAAAACCCCGUUUUUUUUAUAAGCAGCCUUGUUAAGAGCUGCGUUGGAGAUCGAUCUCUCGCCUUGCCGCCGUGUGGUGUUGCCGCCGCCGCCGCCGAGUUUUAUUUUUUUUCCCCACUGUCGUCUCUGCUCGCCUGCUGGCCAUCCUUGCCGCUGCCGCUUACGAUCCACACAAAGGAGAAUAAAAAGAGGAAGGCAGGAGGAAAUUUGACAUUUUCUAAUGAAUUUCUCAAAUUCUGUUAAUUUUUGAGUUUUGACUCUACAAGGGUA